AUCAAACCCCAGUUGGCAGUGCAGCGGUCGCCGACGUGGCAGAGUGCGGGAAGGGGAAUCAGAGGAGAAGUAAGAGGUUGCAGCAUGAGAUCAUAGGAGUCACGCUGAGGCACGUGCACUGAAAUGACCCUGACCUCUAACACCUUUGCUCUUGCAUGAGAGAACACCUUUUGUGGCUUUGGAUGGAAGAAGCAAGAGAAGGAGAUGAGAAAUAAAGAGCACGGCGCCAUCCUUCACCAUUAUUAUCGGGUUUUUGGAGGGGACUCUGCUAUGGCACACUAAUAAAGGUCCUCUUUGAAAAGAAGGUUUUCAGAUUCGGACCCCUUGAGAACAGAAUGAUUAAUUUAGCACAAGGAAUAAUACUUUGGAUGAUAAAAGGAAUACAUUUAUCUUUUUGCUUUCAUCCGGUCGUCUCUGACUGUGUGCGGGGGAGCCCGGGAAACCUUGAGGGAAAUUGAACCGUACAAAUUCAGCCUGGAAUCCCUUCAAAUGGAUCCAAAGCCAUGAGAGUGUGCUGGAGCAUCUCUGGUUUAGCAUGUAUGGAGUGAGGGGGAUUCAGUGCAGCUCUAUUGAUGUGGCACACUGGCCUGUAAUCUCAUUAGUAUGCUACGAGGCUGACCCGGCAGUGCUCGCCAUGCUCACGGCAUUAUGGGGGAGAGAAGAGUGGGCCACACAGCCCAGCAUCACAUCCAUCCAUUUGACACAUUUAGAACUCCUCUCACACUGUCCCCUCAAACACUCUCCUCCUUUUCCUUUUAUAUCAGGCCCUUAAUCACAUGUUCAGAUGGUAAGACUGCUCAUCUAGUAGCUUUUUUCGGUAUUUGUUCUUUUUUGCAUCUAAUCUCACUUUUAUCUCUCCCUCUUUUAUCCCCCUGUAUCACUAUACUUCCUCCAUCUUUGUCACUGAAAGCGUGUCUAUGAAAGCUUGUUGUCUUUCUCUCCGUCUAUCACCUCUCUUCCUUCUCGCGCUUUCAAUCUCACACCUUUUAUCCCGAUCAGUCUCUCUGACUCAGUGUUAGUGUGUGAGAAUCAAGAUAAAAACACACCGUAACACAAUGAUGGGGAAUUGCCUCCCUAUACAUGUUCGCUUUACAAUGUGGAGGUGGCCGCCUUCUCCAUCGCAUCAUCUCUGUGUCUUAUCUCUGCUCUGCCGAGUGUAAAUAUUUAAAGAAGGCUCCAGGAGCAGAGCUGGUAGCAUCUCUGCAGACCGUCCUUCCCAACUGCCCACAUUAUCCACAGGCGAUGUGAUGGAGAGCCCAGUGUGCAAAUUGUAGAAUCACUUAGAUCGACUUUUUAAAGGAAAUGUUAUAGGAUAUUUUGUGUUUAGGUUUGCUUACAUUGUCUUUGGCUUUACUAGCACAUUUGCUAACCAGGCUCAUAACACAAACCUGGAUGACCGUCCAGUCUUUCACUAU